AUACCGUGAAACUGCGAAUGGCUCAUUAAAUCAGUUAUCGUUUAUUUGAUAAUACCUUACUACUUGGAUAACCGUGGUAAUUCUAGAGCUAAUACAUGCUGAAAAUCCCGACUUCGGAAGGGAUGUGUUUAUUAGAUAAAAAACCAAUGCCCUUCGGGGCUUUUUGGUGAUUCAUGAUAACUUUACGGAUCGCAUAGCCUUGCGCUGGCGACGGUUCAUUCAAAUUUCUGCCCUAUCAACUUUCGAUGGUAAGGUAUUGGCUUACCAUGGUUUCAACGGGUAACGGGGAAUUAGGGUUCGAUUCCGGAGAGGGAGCCUGAGAAACGGCUACCACAUCCAAGGAAGGCAGCAGGCGCGCAAAUUACCCAAUCCCGACACGGGGAGGUAGUGACAAUAAAUACUGAUACAGGGCUCUUUUGGGUCUUGUAAUUGGAAUGAGUACAAUUUAAACCUCUUAACGAGGAACAAUUGGAGGGCAAGUCUGGUGCCAGCAGCCGCGGUAAUUCCAGCUCCAAUAGCGUAUAUUAAAGUUGUUGCAGUUAAAAAGCUCGUAGUUGAAACUUGGGCCUGGCUGGCGGGUCCGCCUCACCGCGUGCACUCGUCCGGCCGGGCCUUCCUUCUGAAGAACCUCAUGCCCUUCACUGGGCGUGUUGGGGAAUCAGGACUUUUACUUUGAAAAAAUUAGAGUGUUCAAAGCAGGCCUUUGCUCGAAUACGUUAGCAUGGAAUAAUAAAAUAGGGCGUGCGUUUCUAUUUUGUUGGUUUCUAGAGACGCCGCAAUGAUUAACAGGAACAGUCGGGGGCAUCAGUAUUCAGUUGUCAGAGGUGAAAUUCUUGGAUUUACUGAAGACUAACUACUGCGAAAGCAUUUGCCAAAGGAUGUUUUCAUUAAUCAGUGAACGAAAGUUAGGGGAUCGAAGACGAUCAGAUACCGUCGUAGUCUUAACCGUAAACUAUGCCGACUAGGGAUCGGGCGAUGUUCUUUUUCUGACUCGCUCGGCACCUUACGAGAAAUCAAAGUUUUUGGGUUCUGGGG
rnacentral:rRNA from 1 species